ACGAACGCUGGCGGCGUGCUUAACCCAUGCCAGUCGCACGGAAAGGCCCUGCUUUUGUGGGGUGCUCGAGUGGCGAACGGGUGAGUAACACGUGAGUAACCUGCCCUUGACUUUGGGAUAACUUCAGGAAACUGGGGCUAAUACCGGAUAGGAGCUCCUGCUGCAUGGUGGGGGUUGGAAAGUUUCGGCGGUUGGGGAUGGACUCGCGGCUUAUCAGCUUGUUGGUGGGGUAGUGGCUUACCAAGGCUUUGACGGGUAGCCGGCCUGAGAGGGUGACCGGCCACAUUGGGACUGAGAUACGGCCCAGACUCCUACGGGGGGCAGCAGUGGGGAAUAUUGCACAAGGGGCGGAAGCCUGAUGCAGCAACCCCGCGUGCGGGAUGACGGCCUUCGGGUUGUAAACCUCUUUCGCCUGUGACGAAGCGGGGGUGAGGGUAAUGGGUAAAGAAGCCCCGGCUAACUACGU
rnacentral:rRNA from 1 species